rfam:Stegodyphus mimosarum contig9034, whole genome shotgun sequence.
GCCUUCGUGGUGUAGUGGUCUGCAUGUUCGACGCGUAACCGAGAGGUCCGUGGUUCGAUUCCCGGCGAAGGCA